rnacentral:rRNA from 1 species
GAUGAACGCUGGCGGCGUGCCUAAUACAUGCAAGUCGAGCGAACGGACGAGAAGCUUGCUUCUCUGAUGUUAGCGGCGGACGGGUGAGUAACACGUGGAUAACCUACCUAUAAGACUGGGAUAACUUCGGGAAACCGGAGCUAAUACCGGAUAAUAUUUUGAACCGCAUGGUUCAAAAGUGAAAGACGGUCUUGCUGUCACUUAUAGAUGGAUCCGCGCUGCAUUAGCUAGUUGGUAAGGUAACGGCUUACCAAGGCAACGAUGCAUAGCCGACCUGAGAGGGUGAUCGGCCACACUGGAACUGAGACACGGUCCAUACUCCUACGGGAGGCAGCAGUAGGGAAUCUUCCGCAAUGGGCGAAAGCCUGACGGAGCAACGCCGCGUGAGUGAUGAAGGUCUUCGGAUCGUAAAACUCUGUUAUUAGGGAAGAACAUAUGUGUAAGUAACUGUGCACAGCUUGACGGUACCUAAUCAGAAAGCCACGGCUAACUACGUG